GCCCCCAUAGCUCAGCUGGCUAGAGCACCUGACUCUUAAUCAGGGUGUCACAGGUUCGAGCCCUGUUGGGGGUACCA
rnacentral:tRNA from 2 species